rnacentral:rRNA from 1 species
UACGAAGGGGGCUAGCGUUGCUCGGAAUUACUGGGCGUAAAGGGCGCGUAGGCGGGUCGUUAAGUUAGGGGUGAAAGCCCAGGGCUCAACCCUGGAAUUGCCUUUAAUACUGUCGACCUUGAGUAUGGCAGAGGUGUGUGGAACUCCGAGUGUAGAGGUGAAAUUCGUAGAUAUUCGGAAGAACACCAGUGGCGAAGGCGACACACUGGGCCAUUACUGACGCUGAGGCGCGAAAGCGUGGGGAGCAAACAGG